UACAGAGGGGGCAAGCGUUAUUCGGAAUUAUUGGGCGUAAAGGGCGCGUAGGCGGCCUGGCAAGUGGAAGGUGAAAUCCCUCGGCUUAACCGAGGAACUGCCCUCCAAACUGCUUGGCUUGAGUCCGGGAGAGGUGAGUGGAAUUCUCGGUGUAGCGGUGAAAUGCGUAGAUAUCGAGAGGAACACCUGCGGCGAAGGCGGGUAGCUGGGCCGACACUGACGCUGAGGCGCGAAGGCGUGGGGAGCGAACGGG
rnacentral:rRNA from 1 species